rnacentral:rRNA from 1 species
GUGGCAGCAGCCGCGGUAAUACCGGCGGCUCGAGUGGUGGCCACUUUUAUUGGGCUUAAAGCGUUCGUAGCUGGGUUGUUAAGUCUCUUGGGAAAUCUGGCAGCUUAACUGUCAGGCGUCUAAGAGAUACUGGCAAUCUAGGAACCGGGAGAGGUGAGGGGUACUUCGGGGGUAGGAGUGAAAUCCUGUAAUCCUCGAGGGACCACCUGUGGCGAAGGCGCCUCACCAGAACGGCUUCGACAGUGAGGGACGAAAGCUGGGGGAGCAAACCGGAUUAGAUACCCGGGUAGUCCCAGCCGUAAACGAUGCGCGUUAGGUGUGUCGAUGACCACGAGUCAUCGAGGUGCCGAAGGGAAACCGUGAAACGCGCCGCCUGGGAAGACUUCGCUAC